CUAAGAAGCAGAUGCACCCUCAGGAAAAGAAGAACUGGGCAGGUUUUGACUGGGAAUCAUCAAUCACAGAAGCUGCCUGAGAUUAACAAGGAGCCAGUUUUUCAAACAUCCUGCAGUAAACCCAGAGGAAAUCCAGCUGGAACUGCAACUCGAACACAGGCAACUGACUCUAAAAAUAUAUGCCAUCCACUGAAACUCACUGACUGACACACACAUGCUCUCAAGCUUACUGCAGUUACAGGAACACAGGAAUAAACUGGUGUGUGCAGUAGGAUUCAUGCAAACCCAUUCUACUUUGCAUUGGAAGGUGUAACACGUACUCAGUGCACUUCUUUUCAACCGAGUGCCCACUGUUUACCUGUCCUGAAGUAGAUGGACUGUGUUGACUUCUAGAAGGUGAAGGAAGAUAAGCUCCUUUCUCACUUUGAAGAGUAUGUGGGGCUAAUAAUCUUCUUCAUGAAAGGUCUGAAGCUGGAGAAGUAACUCAAAGACAGAACAGACUGAAGGAAUAAAAGGCUUCCCACAGCACUGUUGGCUGGUGAAGUGGGUUACAGGGUCUAUGCUGGAACAAUUUCUUAAAAGACAGCUGAGACAUGAAGUCCAGCACCAAAAUAAAGGAUU